UACGUAGGGCGCAAGCGUUGUCCGGAAUUAUUGGGCGUAAAGAGCUCGUAGGCGGCUUGUCACGUCGAUUGUGAAAGCCCGAGGCUUAACCUCGGGUCUGCAGUCGAUACGGGCUAGCUAGAGUGUGGUAGGGGGAGAUCGGAAUUCCUGGUGUAGCGGUGAAAAUGCGCAGAUAUCAGGAGGAACACCGGUGGCGAAGGCGGGUCUCUGGGGCCGAAAACUGACGCUGAGGAGCGAAAGCGUGGGGAAGCAAAACAGG
rnacentral:rRNA from 1 species